rnacentral:rRNA from 1 species
AGUGAACGCUGGCGGUAGGCCUAACACAUGCAAGUCGAACGGCAGCACAGAGGAGCUUGCUCCUUGGGUGGCGAGUGGCGGACGGGUGAGGAAUACAUCGGAAUCUACUCUGUCGUGGGGGAUAACGUAGGGAAACUUACGCUAAUACCGCAUACGACCUACGGGUGAAAGCAGGGGAUCUUCGGACCUUGCGCGAUUGAAUGAGCCGAUGUCGGAUUAGCUAGUAGGCGGGGUAAAGGCCCACCAAGGCGACGAUCCGUAGCUGGUCUGAGAGGAUGAUCAGCCACACUGGAACUGAGACACGGUCCAGACGCCUACGGGAGGCAGCAGUGGGGAAUAUUGGACAAUGGGCGCAAGCCUGAUCCAGCCAUACCGCGUGGGUGAAGAAGGCCUUCGGGUUGUAAAGCCCUUUUGUUGGGAAAGAAAUCCAUCUGGUUAAUACCCGGGUGGGAUGACGGUACCCAAAGAAUAAGCACCGGCUAACUUCGUGCCAGCCGCCGCAGUAA